rnacentral:lncRNA from 1 species
UCCCACAUGGGAACACACACACACACAAGAUACCCACAUCAAGCCACACCCGAAUUCAGUCAUGGCCGCUAGCAUUUUAUCAGAACUCAGGAAAAGACCCAGAUGCCGACAGCUAGAAUCAGAUGUUUAUUGACCCAAAUGGGGCAGGCAAAAGACAGGUGAAGGGCAGGCAGAGGUAGGUAAUCCAGGGCAGAGUCAAUAAGGUACAAAACAGCAGGGAGGCUCGGGGUCAGGGCAGGCAGAGGUUCGUAAUCCAGGGCAGAGUCAAUAAGGUACAGAACAGCAGGCAGGCUCGGGGUCAGGGCAGGCAGAGGUUCGUAAUCCAGGGCAGAGUCAAUAAGGUACAGAACAGCAGGCAGGCUCGGGGUCAGGGCAGGCAGAGGUUCGUAAUCCAUGGCAGAGUCAGGCAAGUAUAGAAUGGCAGGCAGGCAGAAUGUUCAGAACCGGGGAAACUAGGAAACAGAAACUUGAGAAAGCAGGAAGACGGGAAAGCACGCUGGUAAGACCUGACAAGACGAACUGGUAACAGACAACAAAGAACAAAGGUAUAAAUACACAGGGGAUAAUGGGGAAGAUGGGUGGAGAAAAGCACAACGACAGGUGAAACCGAUCAGGGUGUGCCACCUUUCUUAAUUAACCAGAUCUAAAACAAGGCCAAAGCAGGAAGUACAGUCGCCCUUUAAAACAAACUAAUGACAUGUUGCACCUCUACCUUGCUACCUUUCAGAUUAGCCAAGGAGGAGGACCGAUGAUAACAG